rnacentral:sRNA from 1 species
AGCUAUUCCUCGUGGUUGCAGCUGCGAUUGUUAUUCGGGUCAUGAGGCAGUUGUCCCUGUCGCAAAAGCGGCUUCUUCAGCAUAUCGAAUCGCGGAAAGCCACGCGGUCCGCCUCGUGCGCCGAUCACAAUGGAGCGAUGAUGAAGAUGACGAUGUGGCGGCGGAUGAACGAUGGUGCCGGGCAGAGUCACCACGCUCCUAGAGCUUUGUGGCACACACGACUGCGCAUAUUUAAUUGCUCAUUCGCGUGAUUCGCGACGG